GGAAGGGGUGAAGCUGGGAGCCUGCCUGGAUGAACUCUGCUUGGAAGCACUGGGAUACCUCACUUCAAACUGAUUUUCAGAGAUCAUAGCCUCGGGGGAAUCAGAGAGGAGUAUAGAGAAAGUCACCCUGAUCUGGUCCCUGGCCCUCCACCUUACCUUGCAUGGAAUGGCUGGACCCAGCUGAACUCAGGAUAUAGCAGGUUCAUGUUCUGCUUCUGGCUGUGGGGAACAGAGGAGCCCAGGAAGGAGUGGAAAGUAACUGGAAACUAGAGGAGCUGACAGGGCAGCCAGGUUAGAACUGGCUGUCAAUCAAGGCUGGGUUCCUGGCACAAAGCUUCUAAAACUCUUGGACUUCCCAAGUGACAGAAGUGUCUUUGCUACUCAUGAGCCCCGUGGAUCACACCUGAAUUUAUGCUAUGAGAUGACUCAAGAUACCCUGAAAGAGAAGAGAUUGAUUUUUUUUUUAGUGUCAGGCACUGAAGUGUAUGAGUUGCAAUGAGUCGGCAGCAUCCUUCCGAAGAUGCCUGACUUCUGAUGCCUGACACUGAACACUCUUAUCACCUCUGUCUUCAAAGUUUGGCUUCCAGACCUUUGGAUUAUGCCUGAAAACUGUUAGCUUAGGUUCUGUAGUUUCUGCCUUCACCUCUUGGCUUACAAACAAUUGCCUCUGAUGUAGUGGAAACUUUAAUAUUCAGCUUUCCUAUCUCAGCUCCACUCCUACCCAGCCCUCGCUGGGUUUUAAUUUUAUUAACCUGGUCCCAUUAGUGUCUACCUCCAUAGGGAUGGAGGUACCUUCGUGCCUAUAGUCUGAAUUUUUCCCUUCAGUGAAAAACAAAGAUUCCUUGCUACACAAUCUUUAAUAUCAGUGCCUUAGGACUUCCCAGUGUCUUCAAUCUUCAAUACCUCUUAUAUUACUAGGCUAUCAUUCUCUCUAGAUGUUUGGUAUUCCUGUACUUGAAUGAUGCAGGAGAUAUAUUUGCUCUCCUCUCAGUCCUUUAGUGUGUUUUGGCAAGGAUUCAGCAAAAGCUUCUGUUACCCAUUUAACAUAUUGAAGGAAAUACUUUUAGAUAAGGAGGAGCCAAAUUUCUGGAAUCUUCUGUCUACUUAUGUAUGCAGAGAACCACAGGCCCUUCUGAUGUCCUGCUCAUUAUUGAAUGUUUCUGUACCAUUUACUCCUUGGAGCUGCUUAUCUCAUUUUUGAAUGUGCCAUAUUUUGAAACAUUCCUUUAAAAUAUUUUAUUUAUCACUGUCAAAUGUUUGAAAUGCACGAAGUCCUCAAAAUGUAAACAUAAGAACAAAC
rnacentral:lncRNA from 1 species